ensembl:lncRNA
GUUUGUCUAAAUACUUAUGUUGUCACUUUAUGUCUUCUUCUCUUGUAAAUGUGUUGUUAUAACACAAACGUGAGGACUCAUGGCAGAGAUGAUUUUAUGAAUCUAGAAUGAAAAUGCUAGUAAGGCAAAUCAUUGACUAAUUCCUGCUAUUCUUAUGUUGAACAUUAUAUUUUUCAGAGAUUAUAUUUCAUUAGAAAAAUGAAAGAAAAAAAUUAUACUUGAAAAUAAAACUUUACUUUUAAUAAUAUUUCAAAAUAAUGCAUGAAAGUUUCACAAUCACAAAGUGUUCAUAGAGGAUAUUGUUUUUUUAUGCAACAGGACCAAAUUUCAUCCCAACUGAUUUAAACUGUCAGUGCACCUUUUGUGUAUGCUUCUCAAAUAAUUACUCCUUUUGUAUUAUUUUUACCUUACUGUACUGCAUUGACAUUCAUUGUAUUAGCCUUUGUAUAAACAUUAACUGGUGCUAUGUUAUUUGUUAUUGUAAUGUGAACGCCAAUGUCCUCUAUCUGAAGGGAACAUGAGAUCUGUAGCCAACUGUUUGUGCUGAUUCUCUGUAGUUUCUUUUGUUUUUAUGUAAAAUUACUGUGUAAAACCUCCUCCAAAAAAGUAUUCAUCUGUAGGUCUUUAGGAAAGGAAAUUAGGAAAGCUUCCAUCUGUAUGAACUCAGGUGUAUCCAAGGACUAUUCACAGUCCUGAGACCUGUUUUAGGAGCUCCUCCCAUGCACUGAUACUACCACACACAAAACACACACUCAGUCCUCCGUCUGUCCUCCAACUGUUUAAUUAUGAAAUUAUUUACUAGCACAAAAGAGGUGCUUUAUCUUGUUUAUAUGUAUCUUAUAUAGUAUGUUGUUGUAGGUAGAUGAUUUCCUGGUGCAAUGCUCAAUGUUAAAGUUUUAUUUUAAUAAUGUGCAACAGAAUCAAAGUGGGAGAGUAAGAGAGAAAAGAAAUGGAAAUACAAUGCCUCUUGUGUUGUAAAGUGGUUCACUCAGUGCCUCUUUUAAAGUGGUUAUUAAAAAUCUGCAUUGGUUUCUC